UACGAGGGGGGCGAGCGUUGUUCGGAAUUAUUGGGCGUAAAGGGUGCGUAGGCGGUUUGAUAAGUCUGAUGUGAAAUCUAUGGGCUCAACCCAUAGCCUGCAUUAGAAACUGUCGGGCUUGAGUAUGGGAGAGGUGAGUGGAAUUUCCGGUGUAGCGGUGAAAUGCGUAGAGAUCGGGAAGAACACCAGUGGCGAAAGCGCUCUGCUGGACUGCAACUGACACUGAGGGACGAAAGCUAGGGGAGCGAAAGGG
rnacentral:rRNA from 1 species